CCUACGGGAGGCUGCAGUGAGGAAUAUUGGUCAAUGGGCGCGAGCCUGAACCAGCCAAGCAGCGUGAAGGAUGACUGCCCUACGGGUUGUAAACUUCUUUUAUAAAGGAAUAAAGUGAGGCACGUGUGCCUUUAUGCCCGUACUUUAUGAAUAAGGAUCGGCUAACUCCGUGUCAGCAGCCGCGGUAAUACGGAGGUUCCGAGCGUUAUCCGGAUUUAUUGGGUGUAAAGGGAGCGUAGAUGGGUUGUUAAGUCAGUUGUGAAAGUUUGCGGCUCAACCGUGAAAUUGCAAUUGAUACUGGCGGUCUUGAGUACAGUUGAGGUAGGCGGAAUUCGUGGUGUAGCGGUGAAAUGCGUAGAUAUCAGGAGGAACACCGGUGGCGAAGGCAGCUUACUAGACUGCCACUGACAUUGAGGCUCGAAAGUGUGGGGAUCAAACAGGAUUAGAUACCCGAGUAGUC
rnacentral:rRNA from 1 species